GCUGUGAUUGACGAUGGUAGACUAGGGUCAUGUCAAAGGUCGGGGUUGGGGUCAGGGUUAAGAGGUGUUGGGUCUGGGUCGGGGUUUGGGGGGUUGGGUCUAGGUCGAGUCUAGGAUCGAGUUUGGGGUUAGGGGCUAGGGGUAGUAAGGUUAGGUGGGAUAAAGAAGCUUCUAGGUUGUGAGUUGGGUCUUGGAACAUCGGUACUUUACAGGGUAAGUCUAUAGAGCUGG
rnacentral:lncRNA from 1 species